rnacentral:rRNA from 1 species
CCUACGGGUGGCAGCAGUGGGGAAUAUUGCACAAUGGGGGAAACCCUGAUGCAGCGACGCCGCGUGAGCGAGGAAGUAUUUCGGUAUGUAAAGCUCUAUCAGCAGGGACGAAAAAAGACGGUACCUGACUAAGAAGCCCCGGCUAACUACGUGCCAGCAGCCGCGGUAAUACGUAGGGGGCAAGCGUUAUCCGGAUUUACUGGGUGUAACGGGAGCGUAGACGGCAAGGCUAGCCAGACGUGAAAGGGCAGGGCUCAACCCUGGACAAGCUUUUGGAACUGUGGUGCUAGAGUGCAGGAGAAGUAAGUGGAAUGCCUAGUGUAGCGGUGAAAUGCGUAGAUAUUAGGAAGAACACCAGUUGCGAAGGCGGCGUACUGGAGUCAAACUGACGUUGAGGCUCGAAAGCGUGGGGAGCGAACAGGAUUAGAUACCCGAGUAGUC